UACAGAGGGUGCGAGCGUUAAUCGGAAUUACUGGGCGUAAAGCGUGCGUAGACGGUUAUUUAGGUCAGAUGUGAAAGCCCCGGGCUCAACCUGGGAAUUGCAUUUGAGACUGAAUAGCUAGGGUGCGGUAGAGGGAAGCGGAAUUUCCGGUGUAGCGGUGAAAUGCGUAGAUAUCGGAAGGAACAUCAGUGGCGAAAGCGGCUUCCUGGACCAGCACCGACGUUCAGGCACGAAAGCGUGGGGAGCAAACAGG
rnacentral:rRNA from 1 species